rnacentral:lncRNA from 1 species
GCAUGGUGAUUUGUAAGUAACUCACUGUACUUUAGUACCAGACCAUCUGAGUUUCUAACUUAAUGAUGGAAGGAUACUAGGUGCAGUCAACCACUUAUCAAGUCGGUGUGUGAGUCAAGAUGGAAUUGACUCCUCUGAAUUGAUAGGAGAUAUGCAUCAGUGUAUUUCAAUUUAGCAAAAUCUUGGCUAGGAUAAUCCAUGAGAUGGAUUUAAAAGGUUGAA